rnacentral:lncRNA from 1 species
UCCGUUGCAUUUCGAACAUAUGUGGUCAGGGUAUUUGUGACCAAUUAGCUUGCAAUAUCUCGUUAAUAACUCUGCCGAAAUAAAUCCUACUUUUAGUGCUCGUGUUGUAGGUCGUUCUUCUGGCUUAAGUAAUGAUAAAAUCCAUCUCUGGACUUCAUCCAUAUCUGCUUUCCUUAGCUCCCUUGAAUUGGAAUAAAUCAUUAACUGAUCUCUUGCAUAGUAGCUCCAUAUAGCGUUUCCGUUUAAAUAAUUAUUUG